GAGAGUUGGCAGAGUGGUAAUGCACCGGACUCGAAAUCCGGCGAACCGGCUUAUACCGGCGCGCAGGUUC
rnacentral:tRNA from 1 species